CAGUGGGGAAUAUUGCACAAUGGGCGCAAGCCUGAUGCAGCCAUGCCGCGUGUAUGAAGAAGGCCUUCGGGUUGUAAAGUACUUUCAGCGGGGAGGAAGGUGUUGUGGUUAAUAACCACAGCAAUUGACGUUACCCGCAGAAGAAGCACCGGCUAACUCCGUGCCAGCAGCCGCGGUAAUACGGAGGGUGCAAGCGUUAAUCGGAAUUACUGGGCGUAAAGCGCACGCAGGCGGUCUGUUAAGUCAGAUGUGAAAUCCCCGGGCUCAACCUGGGAACUGCAUCUGAUACUGGCAGGCUUGAGUCUCGUAGAGGGGGGUAGAAUUCCAGGUGUAGCGGUGAAAUGCGUAGAGAUCUGGAGGAAUACCGGUGGCGAAGGCGGCCCCCUGGACGAAGACUGACGCUCAGGUGCGAAAGCGUGAGGAGCAAACAGGAUU
rnacentral:rRNA from 1 species